UUGAACGCCGGCGGCAGGCCUAACACCUGCAAGUCGCGCGGAUGAAGGGAGCUUGCUCCUGGAUUCAGCGGCGGACGGGUGAGUAAUGCCUAGGAAUCUGCCUGGUAGUGGGGGAUAACGUCCGGAAACGGGCGCUAAUACCGCAUACGUCCUGAGGGAGAAAGUGGGGGAUCUUCGGACCUCACGCUAUCAGAUGAGCCUAGGUCGGAUUAGCUAGUUGGUGGGGUAAAGGCCUACCAAGGCGACGAUCCGUAACUGGUCUGAGAGGAUGAUCAGUCACACUGGAACUGAGACACGGUCCAGACUCCUACGGGAGGCAGCAGUGGGGAAUAUUGGACAAUGGGCGAAAGCCUGAUCCAGCCAUGCCGCGUGUGUGAAGAAGGUCUUCGGAUUGUAAAGCACUUUAAGUUGGGAGGAAGGGCAGUAAGUUAAUACCUUGCUGUUUUGACGUUACCAACAGAAUAAGCACCGGCUAACUUCGUG
rnacentral:rRNA from 1 species